rnacentral:rRNA from 1 species
UACAGAGGGUGCGAGCGUUAAUCGGAAUAACUGGGCGUAAAGCGUGCGUAGACGGCUAUCUAAGUCGGGUGUGAAAGCCCCGGGCUCAACCUGGGAAUUGCAUUCGAGACUGAAUAGCUAGGGUACGGUAGAGGGAAGCGGAAUUUCCGGUGUAGCGGUGAAAUGCGUAGAUAUCGGAAGGAACAUCAGUGGCGAAAGCGGCUUCCUGGACCAGUACCGACGUUCAGGCACGAAAGCGUGGGGAGCGAUCCGG